rnacentral:pre_miRNA from 1 species
CGGCGGAGCAGGGCUUAGCUGGCCUGUGAACAGUUAGUUCCCUGCGUGUUCACAGUGGCUAAGUUCCGCCCCUCCA